rnacentral:rRNA from 1 species
AAUGAACGCUGGCGGCGCGCCUAAUACAUGCAAGUCGAGCGAGAAGACGUAGCAAUACGUUUGUAAAGCGGCGAACGGGUGAGGAAUACAUGGGUAACCUACCCUCGAGUGGGGAAUAACUAGCCGAAAGGUUAGCUAAUACCGCGUACGCUUCUUGGACUUCGGUUCAGGGAGGAAAGCGAUACCGUGGGUAUCGCGCUCUUGGAUGGGCUCAUGUCCUAUCAGCUUGUUGGUGAGGUAACGGCUCACCAAGGCUUCGACGGGUAGCUGGUCUGAGAGGACGAGUCAGCCACACUGGCACUGCGACACGGGCCAGACUCUACGGAGGCAGCAGUAGGAAUAUUGCGCAAUGGGCGAAAGCCUGACGCAGCGACGCCG